CCGAGUUGUUGACAGCGACAUCUGGUGUUGGCGUGGGUUUUACACCCCUGUCGUCUGCUGGACAGCCGAAUCAGGCAGUUUGAUACAGAUUGUGUUUAAAUAUUGCUACUCUCCUAACUUUAAAAGCAAAGUUGAGAAUGGAAAAGCUAGAAUUUGUGCUGAUAAUUUCAAGGAUGAAGAUAUUCAAAGGGCCAAUAAAAAAGUUGGAUUAAGUUUGGAGCAUCACCCACAAAAUUGUUGCCAAGAAAAUCACAUGAAGCACCUCCCUGGCCACCAGGAAGAAUUGUUCCCAAAUAUUCAUCUAUAAAUGACUGUCCACCUUCAUCAUCUCAAUCUGCAAUUAUUAACUACAAUUCCAUCAAUGAAAUAAUUUCAGCUUUUGAAAAACUGGAGAAUACAUUAAAUCAAUACAUACAAAGCUCAUUUCACAUACUAUUCUAAUCACAGUUUACAGGCGACAUCGGAAAUGAGCCUUCUAAUUUGCCAAUUUGACCAAAAACAAUUUUCCUUUUCUUGCGCUUUCGGUGGAGUUUUUUCUCCCACAAUAUCAUCGGCAAUUUCAAUCCUACUCAAAAACUUAGUUGAUCUCACCCCGAGUUUGGGAUAUGAUAUUGUUUCCACAAAAAGUUCAUGGAUUCCCAGAAGUGUUCCAGAAAUAGAAGAUGAUGGCAGAAUUUCCUUGAAAUUAAGAUAUAUCAGCUCUCAAUGUGAAAUAUUGUAUUUUUAUGCUGGUACACGACCCAACAUCUGCUACACUUGUAUGCGUCUCCAUGUGCAUGAUCAAGACAGUGACAAGAGAAAAUUCAGCCUUUUUACAACAUCUAUGAUAAAAGAUCAGAAUGGCUUGAGAAAGAUUUUCUAAAAUACCUGGAUAUUGGGAAGAAAAGGCAUACAGUCGGCCAUUAGUGGAAGAAGUUAAUCGCCAGAAAAUGCUGCUCAGUGAUGCCACAAAAAAUGGCUUGAGAAUGGAAUCUAUUUCCAUGGCUGCGAUUAUUCGUAUUGUUUUGGACAGUGGUGCGAGCUAUGUUUUACCACGGCGAAUGAACCAAGACCCUCUAGAGCAGGGGGCCGCAACUACUUUUCAGCGCUACCCAAAAAUUCUUUUUCUAAUUUCUUGCAACCCAAGAAUUUGGUAAGCAUAAAAUUAGUUAUCAAUUUUAAUACUAUUAUUGACCCUAUCAAUUUUCUUGCAUAAAAUUAUGUGAAACUUAGCACAUAAAAUGAAUAUUAUCGUUUAUUAUAACUAAUGCGAAUUAUAAGCUUUGUGUUUCGAGCACAACAUGUCAAUUUGAGGUUUAAUUUGGGAGACGGUAACUCGAAGAUCUUCUAGCCUUGUUCUGUAUGUAAGAAAACGUCCUUUCACAUAAGUAGGUAGUUGUUCCGAAUGGCAACAGAACAUUCAUUGCAUCAGUUAAGAACUCCGGAUAUUCCUUUGCAACUGAAAUCCAAAAUUCAGCCACGACAGACUGUCUGAAUGGCAUAAGUAUCUGAGCGCUUCUAAAAUGUUUAUUAUUACGUCAAAAUUUGCACUUAUACUGAUUGGCCAAUGUCACCGCAGUAAAUAAGGAAGUGUAUACUCGGGGAAAUAUCCAUAAUUAUAAUCGAAGAUUCAUAUAGUUGUUAUACCUGAAUACACUACACUUACCCUUACUGGAAAC